rnacentral:tRNA from 1 species
GGAGAGGUAUCGAAGUGGUCAUAACGGGGCUGACUCGAAAUCAGUUUGCGCGAAAGCGCACAUGGGUUCGAAUCCCAUCCUCUCCGCCA